GAUGAAGAACGCAGCGAAAUGCGAUAAGUAAUGUGAAUUGCAGAAUUCAGUGAAUCAUCGAAUCUUUGAACGCACCUUGCACCCUUUGGCAUUCCGAAGGGUAUGCUCGUUUGAGUGUCAUUGUACUCUCACACUCUCCGAUCCUAUGGAUUCGGGGAGCGGUGGACUUGGGUAUUGCUGCCUUUCCUUGUGGCUCACCUCAAAUGUGUCAGUGCACCUCUUGGUUGGACAUAGUACGGCGUGAUAAGUGUCUUCGCCGGCACCUCGCAAGAGGGUGGCCGAUCGGGAGCUCUGUGCUUUCAAACCGUCUUCGGACAAUUUCUGACAACUUGACCUCAAAUCGAGUAGGACUACCCGCUGAACUUAAGCAUAUCAAUAAGCGGAGGA
rnacentral:misc_RNA from 1 species